UUUGCUGCAGCUCGUCCCUCAGCUUCAUGAAAGAAGGAUGAAGAGAUUCAGAUCUGCCGAAGGAGGAGCACAUGGUUACUUUAUGUUCAGGCCACGUAAUGGAAGAAGAUCUUCAGGAUACCCAUAAAAAGGUUAGCUGAAAUCGCCAAGAAGAAAUGCUGAGACACAGAAGAAAUUGGAUAUUGUCUUCUUAUCCUGUGUAUAAUUCUUUAAAGUUUAAUAUAGAAUGUAAAGGUUACUAUCCUUAUUUACUUGGCAAAAGGUUCCAAUAUAAUAAAAGCAUAAUAAAAUGA